CUCUCAACUAAAAGAGAGUAGGCUGGGCUUUUAAAAUGGAUGGCAUGGUAGAAGGUAGCAUUUGGGGAAGGAACUGCCAGUGCUGUCUGGAACUAUGUCAACUGGUCACAUCUGCUGGGAGCCCCACAGAAUCAAAAGAGACGAGCCUUGAAUGUGUAGGGUCCCUCCCCUUCCAGUUCUGGCACAAUAAUUGUCAUACUGAGUAUAAAGUUUGAAGUUCGGUGUUCUCAUUCAGUGUCGCUACCAGUUCUUUUUGCUGGCACAAGCUUACAGAAUGUGAGGAACAGAAAAGCUAGGCAUCAUACAAAGACUGAUUUCGUUAUUUCUAUAGGGGGAAAAAUGGAUGGCAAUUCUUGUGUUGUUAAAGUAAUAUCUCCAGAUUGUUUUUGAACGAGUCACUACCCCUCUGAACAUCAAGUUAAAAUCUAAGCAACAGCCAAGGCCAGCUUAUAGAGUGUACUAGCUUCAAUUUCUUUCCUUGGCUUGGGUCUGGGAACGAAGACCAAACAUGAAACACAUAAUCUCAGUGCACUUUGAUCCAGAGCCCUUAUUCCCUUUCCUUGACUUCGACCUUCCAUAUCAACCUUUCACCGGCCAAUUCUUUUACUACGACCAAUCUUUUCUUAGCUAUGGAGUCAAUUAUGGUAGUGUCAGGCAGGAGCCUCGAGCUGCCAUUUACAGAAGGAGACGCACCAGGAUUUUGCUCAACAAGGUUAAUUUCUCCCUAUGGGAACAUUAGAAGCAAGCACAACCUCCUUCAUUCGUGUCAGUAGCAAAAGGGUCCAAACCAUUUUGGCAAUUUUUUCUCUAGUGGUACCAUAGAAUUUCCUUCAGAUCGCUAGUCUGUUCCCUCUUUACAGGUACUGGAAAGGCAAUUUCCUAAUAAAUGAAGGCACUUAUAAAGAUUCUCUUCUAUAUGGAGAAGGGACUCACUUAUGUGGAUAUUGUUUUUAUAGCAUUGAAAUAAUAUUUUUUUGAGACUAAGUUUACAUUUGCUUAUGUUUUGUCUGUACAUAAAUCCUCUCCCCCUCUGUUUUACCAUUGCUGGCGUCAGCCCUCUGUGAUACGCAGACAACAAUUUGCCUGAUGUUAUAAAACUGUGAGAUAUUGUAGACUUUUUUUUUCCUCUUUGUGUAUAUGUUCAUGACGAUGACAACUCUGUUUUGUUUUUAUAAGUUGGAAUAAUGUUGCUUUGGCGCAACACAGCUUAAAGCCUUCUGAAUGGAUUUUUAUGUUCAUGAAAAUGAACAAACCAGUGAAAGAUUUCACAUAUGUAUAUGAUAUAUGUAUAUGUAAAAACAAAAUUAGAAAAGAAAUAAACCAAAUGUAUUUCA